rnacentral:rRNA from 1 species
ACGCUCGACACCUACGGGAGGCAGCAGUGGGGAAUAUUGCACAAUGGGGGAAACCCUGAUGCAGCGACGCCGCGUGAGUGAAGAAGUAUUUCGGUAUGUAAAGCUCUAUCAGCAGGGAAGAAAAUGACGGUACCUGACUAAGAAGCCCCGGCUAACUACGUACCAGCAGCCGCGGUAAUCUGAGCGGGCUGGCAAGGC